UUGAAUGACUUGGUGAAUGAAUACGCGAUCAUUUUCUCGAAUGCCAGCAAGAUAUGCGAUCUCAACGAAAAAAUGGAGGCGGAGAUUCACAAGCUUCGUGAAGAAGUCAAAAGCAGAGAUGCGCUUCUCAGAUUGAUGCAAAGACACAGCGAUUUGGCAAGUCAAGAUAAUCAGGGAUUGAUAGCAGAAAACAAGAGGCUCAGAGAAGUGAUAUCUGAACGAGAAGAAGAGUUGUAUCAAUGCGGAUUACAGAUAGAUGCUCUGAAAAAAGAACUAAAAGAACUAAAAGAACUAAGCGCGCUGAAAGAGCUGAAAGAACCAAAAGAUUAAUAUUCAUUCUUGAUUUGUAGAAUUUGUGUUUUUGUGUUUUGAACUGUACAAACUACCUUUUUAUAAGGACUGAACCGUUCCGUCGUAGCCCUCUGAUAGCUCAUUAUGAAGUUAGCUUUCUUCUGUCUCGUCUUCAUUUUUCUGUCACAAGCAGCAUACGCCUUUGAUUAUUUUCUGUUUGUACACCGUUUGAAUCAAGCUGAUAAGGCCAAUGGCACUGAUACCUAUGAUGUCGAUAAUUCCCCGUGGGUUAUUCACGGUUUAUGGCCAGAAAAUUCAAAUGGAUCUUGGCCACAUAUUGUUAUAGACUCUAUUUAGCUAUUUAGAUCUACCUGAAAUCCCACCUUGAGUAUAGUCUGGCCCCCUUUCCCUCAACAAUCCCAAGAAUCGCUCUGGGAACACGAAUACAUAAAACAUGGAACUUGUUCUAUUCCAGAUCCUAUUUCAUCUGAAUACGAAUAUUUCAACCAGUCUAUUCAUCUCUAUAAUAAAAUCUGUCUCAAUCACAUUUUCAAAAAAUUCAGCCUCUCCAAGUACGGGUCCAGAACCCGUCGAACAAACUACCGGUAUACUCCCGUACUUCCCCAUCCACGAAAAAGGACUUCCUGGCAGAGAGAUAUGUCUAGAUAGAUAACAGUUCAACUACAUUAAUUGUACCUUUUUACCUAAGACGAUAGAAUUUGUCCAUCUUUAACGCAUGGCGCGUAUACGCCCUUCCAGGAAUUGCAAUUUCUUUUAUUGGUC